rnacentral:rRNA from 1 species
GACGAACGCUGGCGGCGUGCUUAACACAUGCAAGUCGAACGAAGUGGCGAACGGGUGAGUAACGCGUAAUCAACCUGCCCUUCAGAGGGGGACAACAGUUGGAAACGACUGCUAAUACCGCAUACUGAAGGAGGGGAUUGCGUCUGAUUAGCUGGUUGGAGGGGUAACGGCCCACCAAGGCGAUGAUCAGUAGCCGGUCUGAGAGGGUGAACGGCGACAUGGGGACUGGGACACGGCCCAGACUCCUACGGGGUGCAGCAGUGGGGAAUCUUCGGCAAUGGGGGGAAGCCUGACCGAACAACGCCGCGUGAGUGAAGAAGGUUUUCGGGUCGUAAAGCUCUGUUAUUAAGGAAGCGGUACUUAACCAGAAAGGGACGGCUAACUACGUGCCAGCAGCCGCGGUAAUAC